CAGAGUUAUGCCCUUCGGGGUAGACCUCCAACCCUUUGUUUACCAAACUUUUGUUGCUUUGGCGAGCCGUAAAGUUUAGGCUUUCCAUCGGUUUCGACUGAUGCGUUUGCUCGCCAGAGGAAAUUAAAACUCUGAAUUUUUAAUGUUGUCUGAGUCCCUAGCAAAAUAAAAUUA
rnacentral:misc_RNA from 1 species